rnacentral:rRNA from 1 species
UACAGAGGUCUCAAGCGUUGUUCGGAUUCAUUGGGCGUAAAGGGUGCGUAGGCGGCGCGGUAAGUCGGGUGUGAAAUCUCGGAGCUUAACUCCGAAACUGCAUUCGAUACUGCCGUGCUUGAGGACUGGAGAGGAGACUGGAAUUUACGGUGUAGCGGUGAAAUGCGUAGAUAUCAGGAGGAACACCGGUGGCGAAGGCGCCCACCUGGCCUGCUACUGACGCUGAAACUCGAAAGCUAGGGGAGCAAACGGG